UCCCUGAUGAUCCAAUGGUUAAAACUUGGCGCUCUCACUGCUAGGACCCAGGUUCAAUCCCUGGUAGGGGAA
rnacentral:tRNA from 1 species